GGGGGUAUAGCUCAGUAGUAGAGCAUUUGACUGCAGAUCAAGAGGGCUCUGUUUCAAAUCCAGAUGCCCUCU